GCGUCUAUUAGUGCAUCAACCCUUUUUAAAACGUGUUUAUAUGAAAUUCUAUGAGCUAAAUAUACUUCCUGCUCUGGUCAAAGAUUGUAUCCACCCAUCACUCACCACCAUUCAAGUGGUUAAGCCCUGUUCUCGCUAGCUGUCUGUAGUUGUGACAUACUAUAAUGUUUACAAGGAGAGUUAAGCCCUGCGUGACUCUAUAUGAUGGUGAAGUUGCUGACAGUUGUUAAUGUCAAAGUAUCACAGGUGAAGAAUGGACUUCACAUUGCGUCACAAGGCUUCCUUGCUUCACGUGACAUUUGAAAGCAACCUUUGUCAUCAGCGUAAACCAGAAUGCAGCACUCAUCAAUAGUCUCCACCUGAUGCCACCCUGGCCCACUCUGCCUCAGCAUCACAGAGCGAGAGCUAUAGGCAAGAUGUAAGGCUUGUUAGAUUACACUGAUAAUAUCAUUCAAAUGAGAUCAAGUUUUAAUAUUUUUUCCGUUAAUAAAGCAGAAAUACAAUUCCUAUUCAGAUUCAUAGAAAGUGU